rnacentral:rRNA from 1 species
GCGCGAAAACUCCACAAUGUACGAAAGUACGAUGGGGUUACCUCGAGUGCAGUCCGAUAAGGAUUGCUUUUCCAUAGAGUAAUAUACUGUGGGAAUAAGAGGGGGGCAAGACUGGUGUCAGCCGCCGCGGUAACACCAGCCCCUCGAGUGGUGGGGACUUUUAUUUGGCCUAAAGCGUCCGUAGCUGGCUGUGUCCGUCCCCCGUUAAAUCCAGCGUCCUAAGCGUUGGACCGCGGGUGAUACCACACAGCUAGAGGGUGGAGAUAGGGAAGCGGUAUUUCUGGGGUAGGGGCGAAAUCCUUUGAUCCCAGGAGGACCACCAGUGGCAAAGGCUGCUUCCUAGAACACGCCUGACGGUCAGGGACGAAAGCUGGGGCAGCGAACCGGAUUAGAUACCCGGGUAGUCCCAGCUGUAAACGAUGCUAGCUAGGUGUUGGGUCGGCCACGUGCCGCCCCAGUGCCGCAGGGAAGCCGUUAAGCUAGCCGCCUGGGGAGUACGGCCGCAAGGCUGAAACUUAAAGGAAUUGGCGGGGGAGCACCACCG